AAGCAAGCUGGAGCAUAUCCAUUCCAGUAUGGCUAAAGGCAGCCCACCUCACUCAAGACACCCCUUCAUUGCCAAGAAACAAAGGGGGUCUCAAUAGGCGAACUUUAUAAUUCAGGGGAUGUUUGGAUGGUGGCAUGGUGCCCGCUUUUGCCUCUGUCAGCUCGCCCAGCAGAUGGUGACGAAAGUGAACGGCUGACCAAAAUUUUGGCGUGGAUCCGGAAAUUUGGUGUCAAUCCAAACGCACGCCCAUGCCCGCAGUCAACACCAAUUUUUUGGCUUGGCUGUAGCCGGCUGCAACCCAAAAAGACUCUCAAUCACAGGAGCUGGUUUGAAUUCCUAAUAUACUUUGGCUUGUUGAUAUUGAACCGGAACUGCUGCAGCAUGUCUAUUACAAAGCAGAUUUAUGUUUCUUAUACUUCAGUUUUUGUUUUUAUUCCUUACUACCCCUGCCGCAUAUAAUUCAAAAUGUUUAUGUUUAUAAGUGCAUCAGAAAAUCCACCAAAUUAUCCAAAUCCAUACUGAUUCAUUUCUCUAUCUUCUCCGUACUAGCAAAUUAACUAAGUGUAAUAUGUUGUUCAGGUAUAAAUCAACACUGCAUUUGGAGGGUUCAGUUUUAGUUUAUAGUGUACCAAGUACUUGAUCACCUCUAACAAUGCUCAGCUAUCACUAUCCAAGCUUGGUUGCAGGUUGAACAGUUAUGUACUACAUCACAUCCCGCCCCGACAAUGGAAGCCCUCAUUGCCGACAUCUCUGUCAUAUCAUGUCCCCUUGAGAUGGCUUGCGAGCUUUGACGUCCGGAUUGGGACAUGUGGAUGCAGGGACGCUGCAAGUGGUUCACACGGCAGGGCAAGCGGCCAGGAGAGACGAAGAUCGUCAGACCCAGUUCAGCUCAGCUGUGGAGUGAGACAGCGACGUCACCAAGCAGAUGCGAGCCAAACUUAGAACGGGUGAUGAUGGUGCGUGCUACUUUGUUCAGGGGAUGCUUGCAGAAUGAAAGGACAUGAGUGGGAGCAUGAUGAACAUCAAGGAGAAAAUAUGAAGGAUUCGAGGUGGGACUAGAGCCAAGAGAUUCUUACACAACUUGCAGAAGCAAGCUGGAGCAUAUCCAUUCCAGUAUGGCUAAAGGCAGCCCACCUCACUCAAGACACCCCUUCAUUGCCAAGAAACAAAGGGGGUCUCAAUAGGCGAACUUUAUAAUUCAGGGGAUGUUUGGAUGGUGGCAUGGUGCCCGCUUUUGCCUCUGUCAGCUCGCCCAGCAGAUGGUGACGAAAGUGAACGGCUGACCAAAAUUUUGGCGUGGAUCCGGAAAUUUGGUGUCAAUCCAAACGCACGCCCAUGCCCGCAGUCAACACCAAUUUUUUGGCUUGGCUGUAGCCGGCUGCAACCCAAAAAGACUCUCAUUCACAGGAGCUGGUAUAAAUCAACACUGCAUUUGGAGGGUUCAGUUUUAGUUUAUAGUGUACCAAGUACUUGAUCACCUCUAACAAUGCUCAGCUAUCACUAUCCAAGCUUGGUUGCAGGUUGAACAGUUAUGUACUACAUCACAUCCCGCCCCGACAAUGGAAGCCCUCAUUGCCGACAUCUCUGUCAUAUCAUGUCCCCUUGAGAUGGCUUGCGAGCUUUGACGUCCGGAUUGGGACAUGUGGAUGCAGGGACGCUGCAAGUGGUUCACACGGCAGGGCAAGCGGCCAGGAGAGACGAAGAUCGUCAGACCCAGUUCAGCUCAGCUGUGGAGUGAGACAGCGACGUCACCAAGCAGAUGCGAGCCAAACUUAGAACGGUACUGUUAGCAUGGUACACCAUGUGUAUAAAUAUAUGUGUUACCUACCUUAUAUUGACAAUACUAUUUCACAUCUAACAAAUAUAAGUCCGUUUUAACAUCAACGCUAACUGUAUGCAUCAAAAAGGAACCACCACGGGCGCGGCGUGUCGCCGCGCCGCAAGCUU